AUUGAACGCUGGCGGCAGGCCUAACACAUGCAAGUCGAGCGAGUGGCGGACGGGUGAGUAAUGUAUGGGAAACUGCCUGAUGGAGGGGGAUAACUACUGGAAACGGUAGCUAAUACCGCAUACUAUCGGAUGUACCCAUAUGGGAUUAGCUAGUCGGUGGGGUAACGGCUCACCAAGGCGACGAGCCCUAGCUGGUCUGAGAGGAUGACCAGCCACACUGGGACUGAGACACGGCCCAGACUCCUACGGGAGGCAGCAGUGGGGAAUAUUGCACAAUGGGCGCAAGCCUGAUGCAGCCAUGCCGCGUGUAUGAAGAAGGCCUUCGGGUUGUAAAGUACUUUCAGCGGGGAGGCGUUACCCGCAGAAGAAGCACCGGCUAACUCCGUGCCAGCAGCCGCGGUAAUUC
rnacentral:rRNA from 1 species